AGAGUUACUACUCCAAACCCAUUGUGAACCUUACCUAUGUUCUGUUGCCUCGGCGGCGUGGUCAGCGCCCCCUCUGAAAAGAGGACGAUGCCCUCCCGCCGGCAGCACCAAACUCUUUGAAUUUUACAGCGGAUUACAGUUCUGAUUUGAAAACAAAAAACAAGUUAA
rnacentral:misc_RNA from 1 species